rnacentral:rRNA from 1 species
UCUGAAUCUGCGUACGGCUCCGCAAACCAGUUGUAAACUAUAGCAAGCAUGCUCGGGAUUUGGCCCUCACGGGUUGGGUUUCGGGUGAUAAGGAUAACCCUGGUAAUUCUGAGGCUAAUACUAGAACGCAAAAACUUGACUGACCGGUUUUACUGGGAGGUUGGGGGGCGUGCAAGUGGGUUUCGCAUAGGAUAACCGGGAAGGGGUGCACGUUUGGACCGCGAUAAAGACAGACUGGUUUCGGCCGGCCUGAGCGGCACUUGCGUUGUGCUUCUGACCUAUCAACUAGAUGGCAGCAGUAACGGACAUG